GGUCUGGAAGGAUGUAGACGACGGUGAAGCUGAUCUGUGAAAACAGACUCACAAACAGAAAACGGAGUUACAGAAAGAGAGAACAGAAUCUCUCGUGAGGGACUGUGUGGUGUUACUGGAGAUCAGUGAGGUCUUUAUGAGAAGCACCGUUCCAGUCAGAGAGAAAGACCAGCAGCGAUGUUGACCUUCCCAAAAUUGCAGCACUGGCUGGACCCAACCCAGCAUCAAGCCUCGAGUACUACAGUUCAGAAAGGGUGGGUAUUUGCACUGGUGGUUACUGCACAUGUAGCUGUGAUUGUGAUGUUAGUGGUGAAGAAUGUGCAGCUGAGGAGAGAAAAUCAGCAGCUCCGGGAGAAGAAUAAAGGUAACAGAAAGAAAAAA